UGGCAGUGAUGACUAUCUUAGGACACCUUUGGAACAACCAUGAAAUAAUUAUUUUUUCUCUGAGCCAU
rnacentral:snoRNA from 1 species